rnacentral:rRNA from 1 species
AUCAAUAAGCGGAGGAAAAGAAACCAACAGGGAUUGCCCCAGUAACGGCGAGUGAAGCGGCAACAGCUCAAAUUUGAAAUCUGGCCCCCGGGUCCGAGUUGUAAUUUGUAGAGGAUGCUUUUGGCGAGGUGCCUUCCGAGUUCCCUGGAACGGGACGCCAUAGAGGGUGAGAGCCCCGUCUGGUCGGACACCGAGCCUCUGUAAAGCUCCUUCGACGAGUCGAGUAGUUUGGGAAUGCUGCUCAAAAUGGGAGGUAUAUGUCUUCUAAAGCUAAAUAUUGGCCAGAGACCGAUAGCGCACAAGUAGAGUGAUCGAAAGAUGAAAAGCACUUUGAAAAGAGGGUUAAAAAGUACGUGAAAUUGUUGAAAGGGAAGCGCCUAUGACCAGACUUGGGCCCGGUGAAUCAUCCAGCGUUCUCGCUGGUGCACUUUGCCGGGCACAGGCCAGCAUCAGUUUGGCGCGGGGGAGAAAGGCUCUGGGAAUGUGGCUCCUCCGGGAGUGUUAUAGCCCACUGCGUAAUACCCUGCGCCGGACUGAGGUACGCGCAUUGCAAGGAUGCUGGCGUAAUGGUCAUCAGCGACCCGUCUUGAAACACGGACCAAGGAGUCGUCUUCGUAUGCGAGUGUUCGGGUGUCAAACCCCUACGCGUAAUGAAAGUGAACGCAGGUGAGAGCUUCGGCGCAUCAUCGACCGAUCCUGAUGUUCUCGGAUGGAUUUGAGUAAGAGCAUACGGGGCCGGACCCGAAAGAAGGUGAACUAUGCCUGUAUAGGGUGAAGCCAGAGGAAACUCUGGUGGAGGCUCGCAGCGGUUCUGACGUGCGAAUCGAUCGUCAAAUAUGGGCAUGGGGGCGAAAGACUAAUCGAACCUUCUAGUAGCUGGUU